rnacentral:rRNA from 1 species
GAUGAACGCUGGCGGCGUGCCUAAUACAUGCAAGUCGAGCGAACGGACGAGAAGCUUGCUUCUCUGAUGUUAGCGGCGGACGGGUGAGUGACACGUGGAUAACCUACCUAUAAGACUGGGAUAACUUCGGGAAACCGGAGCUAAUACCGGAUAAUAUUUUGAACCGCAUGGUUCAAAAGUGAAAGACGGUCUUGCUGUCACUUAUAGAUGGAUCCGCGCUGCAUUAGCUAGUUGGUAAGGUAACGGCUUACCAAGGCAACGAUGCAUAGCCGACCUGAGAGGGUGAUCGGCCACACUGGAACUGAGACACGGUCCAGACUCCUACGGGAGGCAGCAGUAGGGAAUCUUCCGCAAUGGGCGAAAGCCUGACGGAGCAACGCCGCGUGAGUGAUGAAGGUCUUCGGAUCGUAAAACUCUGUUAUUAGGGAAGAACAUAUGUGUAAGUAACUGUGCACAUCUUGACGGUACCUAAUCAGAAAGCCACGGCUAACUACGUGCCAGCAGCCGCGGUAAUACGUAGGUGGCAAGCGUUAUCCGGAAUUAUUGGGCGUAAAGCGCGCGUAGGCGGUUUUUUAAGUCUGAUGUGAAAGCCCACGGCUCCACCGUGGAGGGUCAUUGGAAACUGGAAAACUUGAGUGCAGAAGAGGAAAGUGGAAUUCCAUGUGUAGCGGUGAAAUGCGCAGAGAUAUGGAGGAACACCAGUGGCGAAGGCGACUUUCUGGUCUGUAACUGACGCUGAUGUGCGAAAGCGUGGGGAUCAAACAGGAUUAGAUACCCUGGUAGUCCACGCCGUAAACGAUGAGUGCUAAGUGUUAGGGGGUUUCCGCCCCUUAGUGCUGCAGCUAACGCAUUAAGCACUCCGCCUGGGGAGUACGACCGCAAGGUUGAAACUCAAAGGAAUUGACGGGGACCCGCACAAGCGGUGGAGCAUGUGGUUUAAUUCGAAGCAACGCGAAGAACCUUACCAAAUCUUGACAUCCUUUGACAACUCUAGAGAUAGAGCCUUCCCCUUCGGGGGACAAAGUGACAGGUGGUGCAUGGUUGUCGUCAGCUCGUGUCGUGAGAUGUUGGGUUAAGUCCCGCAACGAGCGCAACCCUUAAGCUUAGUUGCCAUCAUUAAGUUGGGCACUCUAAGUUGACUGCCGGUGACAAACCGGAGGAAGGUGGGGAUGACGUCAAAUCAUCAUGCCCCUUAUGAUUUGGGCUACACACGUGCUACAAUGGACAAUACAAAGGGCAGCGAAACCGCGAGGUCAAGCAAAUCCCAUAAAGUUGUUCUCAGUUCGGAUUGUAGUCUGCAACUCGACUACAUGAAGCUGGAAUCGCUAGUAAUCGUAGAUCAGCAUGCUACGGUGAAUACGUUCCCGGGUCU